rnacentral:lncRNA from 1 species
UUUUCAUAUUCAAAUAUAUAAACAAAUCAUGGUUAUUUUCUCUUCCUGGGAAGCCCCAGUCCCCAAAGGGAUGGUGAAGAAAAGACAAGCCUGUCUCAAAGUUGCCCUCACAAACAAGAAGCCGUAACUCUCCUCCAAGAAGGGGCUGUUGGUCAGAGAGAUGUGCACCCCUGCAUGGUGCCCCACUGUUGGCUGGAUCAGGACCUUGCAUCACUGUCACCCACUGUCCUGGUUGCAUCAUCGGAGAAUAGCAAGAUGAUCACGCACGUCAUGUGUGACGAAGUACAGAAGGCAGAUGUCUGGUCCUAUAUGUGGUCCUACUUACAUUCUGAGCAUUGGAUAGAAAUAAUGCCACCCACUGGAGUCUAUCCCGAGGCACAGUUUCUCUCAUAUGAGAAACCCAAAUUGUACAUAAGGAGCAAAAUGAAAGGUAAGCAAUGAGAAGUAGUCAGAUAGAUCUCAAAUGGGAAAGGGAUCAAGAAAUGAAGAGGGGGGAGGAAAGGGGAUGAAGAAAAGAAUGAAGAUGUGUUACGUGCAUGCACCAACUACACACAAGGAAUGGAAAUGUUAUAUGUUGCAAAUGUGUACUAAUAAAAAGAAGAAGAAAUACAGGAGCCAAAAAUGGCACCAAGGCCUGUUUUACAGCACGGGGUUAUUGAAGGUAUCUGUGUGAAGUAAGUGACAGAGCAACCUUAAAAGGCUGAAGGGGGCACGAGGCCAGCUUAGCUACUUGAAGUUCACUGGGAGAAAUAGAGAUGGAUUCUUAAAGUACUGAAACCCUGUUUAGUAUCUGCCUAAUUACACUGCUUUUGAAAACCCCUAGGGAAGACAACACACACAGCCAACAAAUUUGUACUUUAUGGCCCUUGGUCUACGUAGGUAAGGGAGAGAUCAUUUGGCUUUGGGAAAAUGGAACAAAACAAUGGAUUUGGAAGGAAAUGGGGAUUGACUAGCUGGGAUUAGGUAAAUUCCCAAUAUAUAUUGGUUGAAUGGAUGAAACGAGAGAGAAACAUGCUUGGAAACUAGUUUGGGGUGGAGCAGAG